rnacentral:lncRNA from 1 species
AUGGCCUCUGAUGAAGACAAAGAAGAGUCUUAUACCGCCGAAGAUGGUGAGGAAGUUGAGGAGAAUCAAGAUGCCUCAGCAGCAGGUUCUGAGGCUGAAGAAAAACAAGUAGAAGAAGAUGAUGAUGAUUUUGAGCCGGAAGAUAGUAAGAAACGCAAGAAAGGCAAGAAACGAAAAGCUCGCAGUGAAGGCAAACGUGAGAAAAAGCGCAAAAAGAAGAAGAAAGGAGGCAGUGAAGAUGAAAGUGACUUUGGCCUCGAGGAUGAUGGUGCAGGAAGAACCAGCACUGGCGGAAAUGAUUCAGACUACAGUGGACGUAAGUCUCGUAAAUCCAAAGGCAGUAGCAGUAAACAUGCAACACCGACAGUCUCUCAAAAUGUUGAUUCAGGUAAUCUUACUAACAGUCUGUAAUUAAGUAUUAACGAGCAAACGGCACUCUAUCAGUAUCACAAUGAAAUGGUUCUAAUGAGCCUGCUCAGUAAUUUUUAAUCCUUGCAUUUUUAAAAAUAAGAGAAUGCUCUUAGCUCACAAGAAUUCUGCUGAAUUUUUGACUGGUAUUACUUAACAAGCAAUUCUAUGCGAUCAAACGCAUUUGUCAUGUUUAGUAAAACUUAGGAACUUAGGAUGGGAUCUUUCCUCUCCCGGCUGGGAAGAAAAUGAGGAAAUGUCCAUCAAACUGGGGUUUUGAGAUAAAGAAGAACAAGAAGGAAUGCUGGUGAAGGCAAAACAAUGAAUAGGCUGACCAGCAAUGUCGGAACUAACACGAAUCAAACAAAAAUAAAGAGGAAAAAGGACUAAAUUGACGGGUUAGCCCCCCGUCAGGGCAGACUAACUUUCACUUACAUUUUGGAAAAAGAACGGGAAAUCUGCUGUAAAAAACGAAAAAACCCUGAACAGUAGCAACUGCUGUUCACCGAGGCAAUGAACGAAUUCAAACAAGAGUGGGGAGCCAAGUAGUGCUAGUAGCCGCCACGUGACCACUAGUGCUACUUGGCGGGCUUAAAUUUUGAAAAAAGAAGGGGUAGGGGGAACACCCCGUUACAAGGAAUAUAAACAAAUUUUGUCAAAACCCUGUUAGCAACGCACAUGGAGCGUAAACAGGGAGCGUCCAUGAACUGUCAUAACUUUUUUAAUUGUCAUCUAACUGUGCUGUUCUUUAUCUCAAUCAAUAGAGGAAGAUUUGAUUAAAAUUGAAAUCGAGAUAGAGUCCCUGGGUAGCUUAAUUUUGAGAUGGUGGCACCAGUCUUUCUCUUGAGAUACCACAUGUAUUUCUGCUAACUAAGCAGAAGUGUUGCUAAAUUCCUCAGGAAGUCCACCAAAAAUUUGAGACAAUGAUAAGUUUUAGAAACUGAGUCACUCAAUAGGACAUGUGGACGGUGAAACUGCAAAAUGUGUAGGUAUCUCAGUUGAGGUGUUCAGAAAUCUCCGCUACCA